CAAUAGCGUAUAUUAAAGUUGUUGCAGUUAAAAAGCUCGUAGUUGGAUUUGUGGCGUACGGUGUGUUCCGGGCACUUGUUGUCUGAGUAACCUGCUGUUGCCAUCCUUGGGUGGAACCUGUGUGGCAUUAGGUUGUCGUGCAGGGGAUGCCCAUCAUUUACUGUGAAAAAAUUUGAGUGUUCAAAGCAGGCUUAUGCCGUUGAAUAUAUUAGCAUGGAAUAAUGAGAUAGGACUUUUUUGCUAUUUUGUUGGUUUGCGCAAAGAGGUAAUGAUUAAUAGGGACAGUUGGGGGUAUUCGUAUUCCAUUGUCAGAGGUGAAAUUCUUGGAUUUUUGGAAGACGAACUACUGCGAAAGCAUUUACCAAGGAUGUUUUCAUUAA
rnacentral:rRNA from 1 species